rnacentral:tRNA from 1 species
GCGCCCGUAGCUCAGAUGGAUAGAGCAGCUGCCUUCUAAGCAGCGGGUCGGGAGUUCGAAUCUCCCCGGGCGCGCCA